GCCGCCGUAGCUCAGUGGGAGAGCGCCCGGCUGAAGACCGGGCGGUCCGGGGUUCAAGUCCCCGCGGCGGCA
rfam:Caldisphaera lagunensis DSM 15908, complete genome.